GAUGAACGCUGGCGGCGUGCCUAAUACAUGCAAGUCGAGCGAACAGAUGAGGAGCUUGCUCCUCUGACGUUAGCGGCGGACGGGUGAGUAACACGUGGAUAACCUACCUAUAAGACUGGGAUAACUUCGGGAAACCGGAGCUAAUACCGGAUAAUAUAUUGAACCGCAUGGUUCAAUAGUGAAAGACGGUUUUGCUGUCACUUAUAGAUGGAUCCGCGCCGCAUUAGCUAGUUGGUAAGGUAACGGCUUACCAAGGCAACGAUGCGAAGCCGACCUGAGAGGGUGAUCGGCCACACUGGAACUGAGACACGGUCCAGACUCCUACGGGAGGCAGCAGUAGGGAAUCUUCCGCAAUGGGCGAAAGCUUGACGGAGCAACGCCGCGUGAGUGAUGAAGGUCUUCGGAUCGUAAAACUCUGUUAUUAGGGAAGAACAAAUGUGUAAGUAACUAUGCACAUCUUGACGGUACCUAAUCAGAAAGCCACGGCUAACUACGUG
rnacentral:rRNA from 1 species